rfam:Clostridium sp. CAG:1193 genomic scaffold, scf57
ACAUCUGGGUAAACGCUAUAUUCAAAAGUAAUAUAGAGGAAAGUCCAUGCUCGCACUGUCCAAUUUGGAUGGUAGUGUUUGUGUAUAGGGAAAAAAUAACCUAUAGUAGCGUAUGCUAACGGCUUUGAAAGACCUAAGUCUAUACGAUAUGGUUGAUUAGAUAUAAAAGUGCCAAAGUGACGAAUAAUCAGAAAUGAGGAAAUGGAACGAGGUAAACCCCGCAAGCGAGAAACCCAAAAUAUGGUAGGGGAGCUUCUUUAUAGGUAACUAAAAAGAGGAUGCUUAGGCAUAGAUAAAUGUUUACCACUCGAAAGAGUACAGAACAUGGCUUACAAGA